GGAUUGUGGCUCAGUGGUAGAGCACUUGCCUUGCAAGCUUGGGACACUGGGUUUGAUCCUCAGCACCA
rnacentral:tRNA from 1 species